rnacentral:lncRNA from 1 species
GGGGAGGGGAGGGAGAGAGGAAGAAGGGGUGAGAGGGAGAAACCUGCCGCCGCUCGCCGCCUCUUUGUCUGCUCCGGGACUUGGAACAAAAGGGGGAACUCUGAUGAACUCUCCUCCCCUCUCCCCCGGCGCCCGGGUAUCUCCUCCUCGCAACUUUGCCGCCGCGACUUUCCCGGCUGUCAGGCCCCACGCAAGUGUCCGAGCGCCUCGCGGGCUGCACAGCGGGGAGGGUCCCUCCCGAGGGCGACGAGGCGGGGGCGGAGGUGAGCGGGGACCGAGGUCUGGGUUCCCUCUCCCCCCGGCGCUCCGGGCUCCCCGCCCUUCGGGGGACGGAGGCGUAGUCCGGUGGCGAAGUUUGGCUGGUGCAAUUAUUAUUAUCAGCAUCUAGAAAGCAUCACACGGAGCAUUGACCUUCAUGCUGCAUUGUUCUUACUGGAUCCUCCUAUCCGUGAACAUUAUGCCAAGUACCAAUACAGCAUCAAGUCAUUUCUGGAUGGAAAGUUUUCAAACUUCUUCAUUUGGAGUUACUUAAACGUGAGGGUGUUGGGAUUUUUGAGGAUGCCUUCCCUAUGUGGAUUAUUACAGUUUGAUGACUGAUUCUCUGCCUCAAAGAAGUACUCUCAGGUGACUACGGAAGCAUUAGCACCCUGCAUGCUCAGGUUUUCUUCUGUAUUUCCUGAUAUAAGUCUCCCCCUGACCCCACUGGAAUGCAUGGAUUUGCAUUUGUUCUUCCAGGAGUGUCUAACUGGAUGUCCUCUGCAAAUUCAUCAAAUGUGCCAUCUUUUCCAUCAUGUGGUCAUCCCUGGGAUCAUCAUCGAACAUCGUUCUCCACCACUCUGGUCCAUGGAUGGUUGUUCUCUUUUGUCCAUUCCAUCAAAUGUCCUGAACACUGUCAGAAGAGGGAAAAGGCUAAUGGAGCUGUUAAGUCUAAGUAUGACUGCCAAGAUGAAUCCAAAAAAGCCAAAGAGCCUGAGCAUGUCAGACCUUCCUGCAGCCUGCCACACACACUUAAAACCCCAGGGAAAUGAGUGCGGCUCAGGAGGGGGGAAGAGCGCCAACCAGUCAGAUUGCUCAAUCCCAAGACAAAGAACUCGUGGAUCAUGGGCUAGAAAAAAGGGUUAAAGGAUUAGAAUGAAUUCAAGAAAGAACGAUCUGGUUGCCACUUGGAGAAGGACACAGGAGCUGAACCCAAUGGUGCUGUGGAGCCUGGGGAGGAAAUUGUGAGUACUUGCUCUUGAUUGAGUAUCAUUAUCCUCCUGUUGUCUAGGAAGAUGAUUGUUAUAAUUAGCGAC